rnacentral:rRNA from 1 species
CCAGAGAAUUACGGGUGAGAACCUAAAACUCAAAAGACUUGACGGUGUUCCAACCCUGCCUAGAGGAGCCUGUUCCAUAAUCGAUAACCCCCGAUCAACCCGACCACCUAUUGAAAUACUCAGCCUAUAUACCGCCGUCACCACGCCUACCCUUUGAAAGACACACAGUAGGCACAAUAGUUUCUAAACUAGCAAGUCAGGUCAAGGUGUAGCUUAUUAGGUGGAGGAAAUGGGCUACAUUUUCUACGAUAGACCAUCUACGGACUUCGCUCUGAAACCAAAACGAACAAAGGAGGAUUUAGCAGUAAGCCAAACAAGAGAGUUUGACUAAAUACUUAGCCCUGGAACA